UGCCAGCAGCCGCGGUAAUACGUAGGUGGCAAGCGUUAUCCGGAAUUAUUGGGCGUAAAGCGCGCGCAGGCGGUUUCUUAAGUCUGAUGUGAAAGCCCACGGCUCAACCGUGGAGGGUCAUUGGAAACUGGGGAACUUGAGUGCAGAAGAGAAAAGCGGAAUUCCACGUGUAGCGGUGAAAUGCGUAGAGAUGUGGAGGAACACCAGUGGCGAAGGCGGCUUUUUGGUCUGUAACUGACGCUGAGGCGCGAAAGCGUGGGGAGCAAACAGGAUUAGAUA
rnacentral:rRNA from 1 species